rnacentral:lncRNA from 1 species
UGUGAGUGUAUUUCUUAUUUUGUUUAUAGAUGAAAUUCUCUUAAUCGAGAAUGACAUUCCUUACAUUAUAGAGAAUAAAGAUUUUGUUGUUAUCACUGUUCUCCAUAAAUAAUUUGAGAGAUAGAUCUAAGAGGCUGCUUGGGUUAUCCUAAUCUAUAUACAUAGAGUGUUUAUGAGUAAAAUUUAUUCUAUUAUUUAUACCAUGUACGAGAUCAGAUGUAGUAUACUCACUAGAGGUAGUGAGUGGAUACAUGCAA